UUGGGGAAGGGCCAUAGUUCAGGGGCAGAACAUCUGCACUGCAUGAUGCAGAAGGUCCUGGGUUCAAAUCCUGCCCAAA